CAGGCUUAACACAUGCAAGUCGAGGGGCAGCAUGGUCUUAGCUUGCUAAGGCCGAUGGCGACCGGCGCACGGGUGAGUAACACGUAUCCAACCUGCCGUCUACUCUUGGACAGCCUUCUGAAAGGAAGAUUAAUACAAGAUGGCAUCAUGAGUCCGCAUGUUCACAUGAUUAAAGGUAUUCCGGUAGACGAUGGGGAUGCGUUCCAUUAGAUAGUAGGCGGGGUAACGGCCCACCUAGUCUUCGAUGGAUAGGGGUUCUGAGAGGAAGGUCCCCCACAUUGGAACUGAGACACGGUCCAAACUCCUACGGGAGGCAGCAGUGAGGAAUAUUGGUCAAUGGGCGAGAGCCUGAACCAGCCAAGUAGCGUGAAGGAUGACUGCCCUAUGGGUUGUAAACUUCUUUUAUAAAGGAAUAAAGUCGGGUAUGGAUACCCGUUUGCAUGUACUUUAUGAAUAAGGAUCGGCUAACUCCGUGCCAGCAGCCGCGGUAAUACGGAGGAUCCGAGCGUUAUCCGGAUUUAUUGGGUUUAAAGGGAGCGUAGAUGGAUGUUUAAGUCAGUUGUGAAAGUUUGCGGCUCAACCGUAAAAUUGCAGUUGAUACUGGAUAUCUUGAGUGCAGUUGAGGCAGGCGGAAUUCGUGGUGUAGCGGUGAAAUGCUUAGAUAUCACGAAGAACUCCGAUUGCGAAGGCAGCCUGCUAAGCUGCAACUGACAUUGAGGCUCGAAAGUGUGGGUAUCAAACAGGAUUAGAUACCCUGGUAGUCCACACGGUAAACGAUGAAUACUCGCUGUUUGCGAUAUACUGCAAGCGGCCAAGCGAAAGCGUUAAGUAUUCCACCUGGGGAGUACGCCGGCAACGGUGAAACUCAAAGGAAUUGACGGGGGCCCGCACAAGCGGAGGAACAUGUGGUUUAAUUCGAUGAUACGCGAGGAACCUUACCCGGGCUUAAAUUGCAGAUGAAUUACGGUGAAAGCCGUAAGCCGCAAGGCAUCUGUGAAGGUGCUGCAUGGUUGUCGUCAGCUCGUGCCGUGAGGUGUCGGCUUAAGUGCCAUAACGAGCGCAACCCUUGUUGUCAGUUACUAACAGGCUUCGCUGAGGACUCUGACAAGACUGCCAUCGUAAGAUGUGAGGAAGGUGGGGAUGACGUCAAAUCAGCACGGCCCUUACGUCCGGGGCUACACACGUGUUACAAUGGGGGGUACAGAGGGCCGCUACCACGCGAGUGGAUGCCAAUCCCCAAAACCUCUCUCAGUUCGGACUGGAGUCUGCAACCCGACUCCACGAAGCUGGAUUCGCUAGUAAUCGCGCAUCAGCCACGGCGCGGUGAAUACGUUCCCGGGCCUUGUACACACCGCCCGUCAAGCCAUGGGAGCCGGGGGUACCUGAAGUGCGUAACCGCGAGGAGCGCCCUAGGGUAAAACUGGUGACUGGGGCUAAGUCAUAAC
rnacentral:rRNA from 1 species